AGAAAAUAGAUACCCUGGUAGUCCCAGCCGUAAACGAUGCUCGCUAGGUGUCAGGCAUGGCGCGACCGUGUCUGGUGCCGCAGGGAAGCCGUGAAGCGAGCCACCUGGGAAGUACGGCCGCAAGGCUGAAACUUAAAGGAAUUGGCGGGGGAACACAACAACGGGUGGAGCCUGCGGUUUAAUUGGACUCAACGCCGGACAACUCACCGGGGGCGACAGCAAUAUGUAGGCCAGGCUGAAGACCUUGCCUGAAUCGCUGAGAGGAGGUGCAUGGCCGUCGCCAGUUCGUACUGUGAAGCAUCCUGUUAAGUCAGGCAACGAGCGAGACCCGUGCCCACUGUUACCAGCAUGUCCUCCGGGACGAUGGGUACUCUGUGGGGACCGCCGAUGUUAAAUCGGAGGAAGGUGCGGGCCACGGUAGGUCAGUAUGCCCCGAAUCUCCCGGGCUACACGCGGGCUACAAUGGAUGGGACAAUGGGUCCUCCCCUGAAAAGGGCUGGUAAUCUCACAAACCCAUUCGUAGUUCGGAUCGAGGGCUGUAACUC
rnacentral:rRNA from 1 species